CUAUAACACCACAACAAAGGAGAGCCCUCAUUGAAUUUGAUUUCAUGAAAUAUGAUGUGUGAUCAUAUUUGCUAUGCUACAAAGCAGACAUUUUAUUGUGCUGGAGACUUGCACUAUGGUGAGUAAACCAUGAGUGGACAUUAUAAACAGUCAUGGGGAAAAGAAGGUACACCCUUUUUUGAAUUAUAUGGUUUUACAUAUCAGGGUAUAAUAACAAUAAUCAGGGACUUUAACUUGUAGCUUGGUAAAUGGUGUCAGGAGCAAGGAUUUGGCUUAAUUUCUCAUGUUAGCUCUAUUUGGAAUUAUUUGGAAUGGAA